GCCGCCGCCUCUGCCUCCAGCUCCUUCGCCCCGGCCCGGCCGGCCACCACUUCCGGCCGCUCACCUGGGACGCGCUCCCCUGCCUCCGGGCGCCUGGGCACCGGGAUGAAGGACCGGCUGGAGCAGCUGAAGGCCAAGCGGCUGACACAGGAUGAUGAUGCCGAUGAGGUGGAGAUUGCUAUUGACAACACAGCCUUUAUGGAUGAGUUCUUUGCUGAGAUCGAGGAAACUCGGCAAAACAUUGACAAGAUAUCCGAGCACGUGGAAGAGGCUAAGAAACUCUACAGUAUCAUCCUGUCUGCACCGAUUCCAGAGCCAAAAACCAAGGAUGACCUAGAGCAGCUCACGACCGAGAUCAAGAAAAGGGCCAACAACGUCCGGAACAAACUGAAGAGUAUGGAGAGGCACAUCGAGGAAGAUGAGGUCCGGUCGUCGGCCGACCUUCGGAUUCGGAAAUCCCAGCAUUCUGUCCUGUCCCGGAAGUUUGUGGAGGUGAUGACCAAAUACAACGAGGCUCAGGUGGACUUCCGUGAACGCAGUAAAGGGCGAAUCCAGCGGCAGCUCGAAAUCACCGGCAAAAAGACCACAGAUGAGGAGCUGGAGGAGAUGCUGGAGAGUGGGAACCCCGCCAUAUUCACUUCUGGGAUCAUGGACUCCCAGAUUUCCAAGCAAGCCCUCAGUGAGAUCGAGGGGCGGCACAAGGACAUUGUGAGGCUGGAGAGCAGCAUCAAGGAGCUUCAUGACAUGUUUGUGGACAUCGCCAUGCUGGUGGAGAAUCAGGGUGAGAUGCUAGAUAACAUAGAGCUGAAUGUCAUGCACACAGUGGACCAUGUGGAGAAGGCACGGGAAGAAACGAAAAGAGCUGUGAAGUACCAGGGUCAGGCCCGGAAGAAAUUGAUAAUUAUCAUUGUGGUAGUAGUGGUGUUGCUGGGCAUUUUAGCAUUGAUUAUUGGACUUUCCGUUGGGCUGAAGUAAUGGCGGCCCGAGUGGUUGCUGCACUGAAAUACGAAGACACUCAGGCUUAAAGAGAUGUUACGUCACAGGGCCAAGUUUGAACACACAGCUGAUGGUGGGCCUAGGAGAGUUCUUUCCUACAUCUUAGCUUCUCUUUGUAAAACCAGGUAGCCAUUUAUCAUUGUCUACCAAGUCCAGAGAACCUUGGAGGAGAGUAAGUUUAAAAUUUAGGCUGUUAAUUUCUUUAAAUCUGUCAGGGCUUCAUGUGCAUAGUAGCAGCACGACGGGAAUGAUCUAAUUAUUGGCACUGUUAACACUUUUAUGACUUCUUAGGUGUUACUUUUCUGAAUAAAAUAUAGGAUGUCAUAUAACAAAAACAUAUAAAACACAGAAAAGGUGAACAGAAUUAAUUUUUAAUGUUAUUGCUGAUAACCUUGUGGCAUGUUCACACACUCAGACAUGGUUUCACAGACUUCAGACUACAUUAUCGAUGGUUUUAGACCCAGUUCAAAAAUCCUAUGCAUCAUUCCACAUCACUGAAAUGUCUUUGUAAAUCUAAUUUUCAACACAAGAUUGUGAAUAUACUCUCAAUUAUUUAAUACUUCCCCAAAGUUAGAGUUUUGUGAUUACUGUGUUACUGUAACAAACAGUAUGACUAACCUCUAUUUUUCUCAUUGCUGUUUUCUCUUCUGAAUUCAAAGAAGUCUGGUUGCUGAGGUAAUAGAUACCAAUGUCUUUAAUACUUGACACAUACUUCCAUGUUGGUAACCAGACCUGAUUCUUCUCUUCAUUUUUGCUUCCGUGUGCCUCUUCUUCCUUCUUCCUCCUCCCAUGUGACCAGAGGGUCUCGAAGUUAGAUAUUUAUAGCACUAAACAUCAACUUCUUCUUGAGAAUGUAAAUGAAUUCCUUUUUUAAAUGAGGAGACUAAUUAAUGUAUUGUUUUUAGUUGACUUACCUGAUCUCCAAAAUGCUGUGUCAUCCCUGAGUAGUGUUGGGCUGUUUACUGUAGUGUAUUUCAUAAAGUCGGGACUGGUUGCUGCUUUUAGGUCUGGACCACCCCCCCCCCAUGUGGCCUGAGGGCAAGAGGUCUCUGAACAGGAGGGAGGGAAGACAGCCUUCCUUUGACUCCCCAGUUGUGUGCCAGAACCUGAUUUCACUCCAGCCUGGUGUGGCCACCCUUGUCUUCAGACGGGAACAGAGUUUGAAUGGCCUUCCUGUGAGAGAGUGCGACCUGUUCCUUUGUUUCCUUGUAACCGUCCUUGGACCUGACCCAGCAAACAAUUUAGCCCAGGAGGAAGCUAAUCUACCUGAUGCAACCCUGAGUUCUCCUCAAAACCUGCUCCUGCCCCACCAACUCUGAAGUGCCUUCUCUCCCAGACAGUACGAACCAACCCAGCUUCUCUUUGUUCCCUCUGAAUGUGUCAAAUUAUGCCUUGCACCUUGGAAAGCCCAUUUGAAACCUUCCCAAGGUGCUGUAUUUUCUACCUCAUGGAGUAUUCUCCUUCCAGAAAUUGCAGUGUAUUUUGUAGGGGGUUAUCAUUAACAACACAAAGGAUUCUUCCAAGUGUGGCAACAAUAAGGCUUGGCUUGAGCCUUCUACUUGGCAGGGUCUUGGUCCUCACAGUUUGUUUUCCCUAUGUCUUGAAAAUAUGUGGAACUGGCAGAUGUCAUUUUGGUCUUAGAAGCUGACUUGUUUGAAGUUCAAUUUUAAAUUAAGCUCUUAGUAUGUUCAGCUUGGUGGCCAACUUCAAUCUUUAUGUUGUAUUCUCUCAUGUUUACUCAAGGAGGCACCAGCAUGAUACGAUUGUCCUAGGUUACCAUUUGUAAAGGCUGAGGGUAUAAGAUAUUUGUUUCCCUCUCUGACUCUUGGAAACUGGCUGUUCUCCAUUGGAGUGAUGCUUUGUGAAGCCAUUGCCUUGAGGUGAAAAAUAACCAGGCACUUAAAAUUGGGCCAGGGACAAGGUGCUUGAGUCUCAGGCUCUGGAAAUGCUCAGAUUGGUGCGAGUAUUCAGUCACUCAUUUCAUAUAUUCCAGAUGUAUUUUUAUAAUCAUGUGUGUGAGACGUAUGUAUAUAUUUGCCCGUGUCACUCAGGAAGUAGGAAACUAGAAAUGGAGAAUAUUAUAAUCUCGAAACAAACAAACAGACAAACCAACAGGCUAAAAAUUAGGUAAGAGACAUUUGCUUAUCUGCAAAUGAAUCAUAGUAGAAAUGUGAUCUUCUGGUGUCAUCGAGAAACCUUGUUUUUUGGUGAGUACUGGGACAAUCAUAGAUCUUUGGGGUGAGGACUAAGUUGACCCCCUUAAGUUUUUCUGCUUAGCAGACAGAAGGUGUGACAAGUUUUGGCACCUCACCCCACUGCUGCAUAGGUGAGGCUUGUCCUGAGAACAUCCCAGAGCAAUUUGAGAUCAUUCCCGUGGCCUUUAGGAUGAUCCCGUCUCCAGGGCUGAGUCAGCUGGGGGAGACCGGGGACUACUGAGUAGCUGGUAUUGCUACCAGGUUAAUGAGCUUGACAGGUUCUUUGUCUCCCCCAAUUCUUGUCAUGUAGGAAGCAACAGCCUGGAAAUGAUUUCAAGUGUAGUGACUAUGCUGACCCCCUGAGAUUCUCUGCCAGUCUCCCUGAUGUAUAGUUUAGCUUUAACUUUCUAGGAUAGGGUGAGCACCUAAUCCAGGGACUACCCCUUGGCUUCCUUUGCAAAGGCUAUGUACUUCAUCAUUGCUCAGCACUCAGACAGAGCCAAGGGGAUGCCUUCUUACCCAUGGCUAUGAAGUCAGGACAGUGGACAGGCUCCAGCAACAAGGGAAGACAAGCUCUAAUCACAGGUCUUUGUUGAGCCCUGGGGCUUAGUUUGGAAUACAAGUGAAGGGUUUUUUUGUCAUUUGUAUUUUUUAAAUGUAAACUUGAUUAUUUUAUUGAUAAUUUAAAAAUAAAUUACUUUAUAUUGAUUGUGAAA